rnacentral:rRNA from 1 species
AUUGAACGCUGGCGGCAGGCUUAACACAUGCAAGUCGAACGAUGAUUUCCCAGCUUGCUGGGAAUGAUUAGUGGCGGACGGGUGAGUAACAUUUAGGAAUCUGCCUAGUAGUGGGGGAUAGCUCGGGGAAACUCGAAUUAAUACCGCAUACGACCUACGGGUGAAAGGGGGCGCAAGCUCUUGCUAUUAGAUGAGCCUAAAUCAGAUUAGCUAGUUGGUGGGGUAAAGGCCCACCAAGGCGACGAUCUGUAACUGGUCUGAGAGGAUGAUCAGUCACACCGGAACUGAGACACGGUCCGGACUCCUACGGGAGGCAGCAGUGGGGAAUAUUGGACAAUGGGGGCAACCCUGAUCCAGCCAUGCCGCGUGUGUGAAGAAGGCCUUUUGGUUGUAAAGCACUUUAAGCAGGGAGGAGAGGCUAAUGGUUAAUACCCAUUAGAUUAGACGUUACCUGCAGAAUAAGCACCGGCUAACUCUGUGCCAGCAGCCGCGGUAAUACAGAGGGUGCGAGCGUUAAUCGGAAUUACUGGGCGUAAAGCGAGUGUAGGUGGCUCAUNUAGUCACAUGUGAAAUCCCCGGGCUUAACCUGGGAACUGCAUGUGAUACUGGUGGUGCUAGAAUAUGUGAGAGGGAAGUAGAAUUCCAGGUGUAGCGGUGAAAUGCGUAGAGAUCUGGAGGAAUACCGAUGGCGAAGGCAGCUUCCUGGCAUAAUAUUGACACUGAGAUUCGAAAGCGUGGGUAGCAAACAGGAUUAGAUACCCUGGUAGUCCACGCCGUAAACGAUGUCUACUAGCCGUUGGGGUCCUUGAGACUUUAGUGGCGCAGUUAACGCGAUAAGUAGACCGCCUGGGGAGUACGGCCGCAAGGUUAAAACUCAAAUGAAUUGACGGGGGCCCGCACAAGCGGUGGAGCAUGUGGUUUAAUUCGAUGCAACGCGAAGAACCUUACCUGGUCUUGACAUAGUGAGAAUCCUGCAGAGAUGCGGGAGUGCCUUCGGGAAUUCACAUACAGGUGCUGCAUGGCUGUCGUCAGCUCGUGUCGUGAGAUGUUGGGUUAAGUCCCGCAACGAGCGCAACCCUUUUCCUUAUUUGCCAGCGGGUUAAGCCGGGAACUUUAAGGAUACUGCCAGUGACAAACUGGAGGAAGGCGGGGACGACGUCAAGUCAUCAUGGCCCUUACGACCAGGGCUACACACGCGCUACAAUGGUAGGUACAGAGGGUUGCUACACAGCGAUGUGAUGCUAAUCUCAAAAAGCCUAUCGUAGUCCGGAUUGGAGUCUGCAACUCGACUCCAUGAAGUCGGAAUCGCUAGUAAUCGCAGAUCAGAAUGCUGCGGUGAAUACGUUCCCGGGCCU